rnacentral:lncRNA from 1 species
UAGUGGAGAUCCUGGUUUUAAAAAUAAAACAUUAUGGAUUCAGCGGCAUGAGUGUGCAUUUUCCAAAUGUAGCCCAUGGAAGAGAAGACGAUUGCAAAUUAUACAUAAACACACACCCAGAGGCCUCCAUGAUCUGACACAUGUUGGCCACUUUAUCACAUUUUGGGAUCCAGAGUAUACAUUUGCAUACUGAUGUCUCAAAACAAAAACCUGCAAUGAAGAUAACCUGGUUAACCUUUACUGGGCUUGGCUUUUCUCCAUUUUAUUAACUACCAUAGAACACCUCUUUACAUCCCAGACCCCAUGAAAUACUUGUAAAAACCAACAUUGUAGAAAUUUACAAGGUUGUCACACACUUUACCAUGUUUUGUGUGAUCCUGAUUCAAAUGGAGUUACUUCUGGUCCCCUCUUUCCUCAUCUGGAAGACAAGGAUAAUAUCCAUCUCCAAAAUGUGGGACUUAAACCAGAUAUUGCACGUAAACGAUUUUCAUGUAACCAGUACAGGGUGGACCUUUCCUGACUAUUAAUUUUCACCUUCAUUCUUGAUAUUUCUCUGCAACACACUGUACCCACAAAGAAAG